ACAAGUAGAGUGGCGCACGGGUGAGUAACACGUAGGUAAUCUACCUUCGGAUGGGGAAUAACAAUCGGAAACGAUUGCUAAUACCGCAUAAUGCAGCGGCACCUAAUGGUGACAGUUGUUAGAGCGGGGGAUCGAAAGACCUCGCGUCUGAAGAGGAGCCUGCGGCGGAUUAGCUAGUUGGUAAGGUAAUGGCUUACCAAGGCAACGAUCCGUAACCGGCCUGAGAGGGCGGUCGGUCACACUGACACUGACAUACGGGUCAGACUCCUACGGGAGGCAGCAGUCGGGAAUUUUGGGCAAUGGGCGAAAGCCUGACCCAGCAACGCCGCGUGAAGGAUGAAAUCCCUCGGGAUGUAAACUUCGCAAGAACGGGAAGAAUAAGUAGGGGACAAUACCCCCUAUGAUGACGGUACCGUUUGUAAGCUCCGGCUAACUCCGUGCCAGCAGCCGCGGUAAUACGGGGGGAGCAAGCGUUGUUCGGAUUUACUGGGCGUAAAGGGCGCGUAGGCGGCCAGCACAAGUCAGUUGUGAAAUCUCCGAGCUUAACUCGGAAAGGUCAACUGAUACUGUGCGGCUAGAGUGCGGAAGGGGCAACUGGAAUUCUUGGUGUAGCGGUGAAAUGCGUAGAUAUCAAGAGGAACACCUGCGGCGAAAGCGGGUUGCU
rnacentral:rRNA from 1 species